CUGGCUCAGGAUGAACGCUAGCUACAGGCUUAACACAUGCAAGUCGAGGGGCAGCAUUGGAGUAGCAAUACUUCAGAUGGCGACCGGCGCACGGGCGAGUAACACGUAUCCAACCUGCGCUUACUCGGGGAUAGCCUUUCGAAAGAAAGAUUAAUACCCGAUGGUAUAAAGAGUUCGCAUGUUCUCUUUAUUAGAGAAUUUCGGUAAGCGAUGGGGAUGCGUUCCAUUAGAUUGUUGGCGGGUAACGGCCCACCAAGUCUACGAUGGAUAGGGGUUCUGAGAGGAAGGUCCCCCACAUUGGAACUGAGACACGGUCCAAACUCCUACGGGAGGCAGCAGUGAGGAAUAUUGGUCAAUGGACGAGAGUCUGAACCAGCCAAAGUAGCGUGAAGGAUGACUGCCCUAUGGGUUGUAAACUUCUUUUAUAAGGGAAUAAAGUGAGGGACGUGUCCCUUUUUGUAUGUACCUUAUGAAUAAGGAUCGGCUAACUCCGUGCCAGCCGCCGC
rnacentral:rRNA from 1 species